GUGGGCGGCAUCUCUUGAUGAGUCAUCAUCCUUAUCCCAUAUCUAAUUUGAAUUUGAUUCAAAUCAAGAUGAGGAUAAGAAGAAAAGAAAUCAUGGGAUUAUGGAAAGUAAGGUGGCGCCAAUAUUUUUCUUGCAUGCAUUGAGAAUGAAGAGGGCUUGAGAAAAAAUCAGAUCUAAUUUUUUGUUCAUGCGACACCUCUUUUGGUGUUAAAAAUUUUGGAUGCCCCAUAUUUUGUGGCGUGCAAAAUAAAGAGAAAAAAUCUGAUUCAGAUCGGAAAGUCAGGGUAAAUCUGAAUAGAUUUCUAUUUUCAAAUUUUCAUAACAAUUAUGUUUACCUUUGAUAUGCAGCGGAAUUG
rnacentral:lncRNA from 1 species